rnacentral:rRNA from 1 species
UACGGAGGGGGCUAGCGUUGUUCGGAAUUACUGGGCGUAAAGCGCACGUAGGCGGACUGUUAAGUCGGGGGUGAAAUCCUGGGGCUCAACCUCAGAAUUGCCUCCGAUACUGGCACUCUCGAGUGCGGGAGAGGUGAGUGGAAUUCCCAGUGUAGAGGUGAAAUUCGUAGAUAUUGGGAAGAACACCAGUGGCGAAGGCGGCUCACUGGCCCGUAACUGACGCUGAGGUGCGAAAGCGUGGGGAGCAAACAGG